rnacentral:rRNA from 1 species
UGCGCAGGCGGAACUUUAAGUCAGUGGUGAAAUCUUGCCGCUUAACGGUAAAAUUGCCAUUGAUACUGAAGUUCUUGAAUAUGGUUGAGGUAGGCGGAAUGUGUUGUGUAGCGGUGAAAUGCAUAGAUUUGACACAGAACUCCGAUUGCGAAGGCAGCUUACUAAGCCAUUAUUGACGCUGAGGCACGAAAGCGUGGGGAGCAAACAGGAUUAGAUACCCUGGUAGUCC